rnacentral:rRNA from 1 species
UAACACGUGAGCAACCUGCCUUUCAGUGGGGGACAACAUUUGGAAACGAAUGCUAAUACCGCAUAAGACCACAGUGUCGCAUGGCACAGGGGUCAAAGGAUUUAUCCGCUGAAAGAUGGGCUCGCGUCCGAUUAGCUAGAUGGUGAGGUAACGGCCCACCAUGGCGACGAUCGGUAGCCGGACUGAGAGGUUGAACGGCCACAUUGGGACUGAGACACGGCCCAGACUCCUACGGAGGCAGCAUG